GGGCUCGUCGGGCAUUAGGACCUGGGAGGUGUUUUCGCGGAAAAAAGGGCGUGCAUUUGUCGGAGAUUCCGCUGUGUUGUCGCUCUGGGACUGAGACCGAGAGCAAGUAAUCGCUUCUAUUUCUCUAAAGAAGAUCUCUAAUAGAAGAGAGGAAGAGAAAGGGAGGAGAACAGAGAAGCAAAUGGGUUCUGGAUCUUUCCUUAAGGUCGUGGUCAAGAACUUCGAUGUUCUCGUUGGGCCUUUGGUCACACUUGUGUAUCCUUUGUAUGCUUCAGUGAAGGCAAUAGAAACUAAGUCUUCUGUUGAUGAUCAGCAAUGGCUUACCUACUGGGUGUUGCAUUCUUUAAUUACACUCUUUGAGCUCACUUUUGCAAAAGUCAUUGAAUGGCUUCCGUUUUGGGCUUAUGCAAAGCUGAUCUUUAACUGCUGGUUGGUCUUACCUUACUUCAGUGGUGCGGCAUAUGUUUAUCAGAGUUAUGUGAGACCAUUGUUUGUAAACCAACAGACAGUCAACAUCUGGUAUGUCCCUCGAAAAAAGGACAUAUUCAGCAGGCCCGAUGAUGUUUUAUUAGCUGCGGAGAAAUUUAUUGAAGAAAAUGGACCAGAAGCAUUUCAGAAGCUCAUUAACAAGACUGAAAAAGUAACAAAGCCCAAGAAGAGCAACAAAUGUGUGACAUUCGAUGAUAGGGUGGCUGGGAAGGAAUCCAAGCCUUGGGGGAGCGAUAGUCACACGGAAAAAGUAACAACGCCCAAGAAGGGCAACAAACGUGUGACGUUCGAUGAUAGGGUGGUUGUGAAGGAAUCCAAAUCUUGGGAGAGCAACAGUCACAUGACAUUUAAUGAAGUAGAGCUUGAAAGGGAUUCAAAGUCUUGGGAGAACAGCAGUUUCAUGAUCUUUGAUUAUGAUAACCGAUAUUGGACAUAGAACUCUAAUUCUGGUCACUUGAUGACCUGCUAUAGAUCAGUCUCUCCAUGUGGCCAUCAGUUAUCUGGAAGGUUUUUCUUCUUUCUUGGUGGUGAUCGAUGAAGAUAUUUGAGCACCUGGGAAUGCACUUUAAUCUUCGUCUCUGUGGGAGGAACACCUGCAUUUUAAGGCUUCAAAUGUCAUCAGUUUGUCCAGGAUUGUCAGUGCACUUUAAGAUAGGAGGGGUUGCACCCUUCAUGAUGUAUGCCAAUCAAUUGACAAACGUUGCCUUCUCAUACUAAUCUGCUUUUGUUUGCUCGAUUAAUGCUCAGAGCACCCAAACAAGGAACGCAAGGACUUCUUUUGGUUCAAGUACCUGUAAGCAAUAAUAUUGAAUUCAUGUGCUCCUUAGUCUGCAUCAAAUACCUCGUCGUCAUGCCGAAUGUAUAAGACAGGCUUCAUGUGCUGAGAGCAAUGAUAGUUUUCGCCUGUGUUCUCGCAUAUAUUUAGUGUUUGGCUCGCAUACCAAAGAUAUCGAGCAGGUAUCAAGCAGAUUCAUCAAGGGUUGCUCUGUGGAGAGCGAUAUCAAGCAGGUAUCGAGCUAUGCAACUGUUAAUUCUAUCUGAUCUUAAAAGAAAUGGCAGUCGGGAUGGGCCGGAGCAGGUAUAGAUCGGAUUGGAUGCAAUAUUGUUCUAAAGACUGUAACUGAAAUCCGAUCAGAUCAAAAAUUUAGAUCCGAACUUGAUGAUUUUAUGAAACAAAUAAUCUAACUUGACCUAUAAUAAAUUGGAUGUAGUUGAAUAGAUUAAAUGGUUGAGCAUUGCCGCUUCUAUUUUAGAAUUUUUUUUGCAGAGUGAGCUUUUUUUGUUAAUUUUUUUUUCUCUCUCUUUUUUGUUUUUUUCUUUAAAUAUCUUGUGCCACAGAUAUGUAGCUGAUUCCACUGAAAUGCUUUCCUGGUAAUUGUGCUUUUUCUCAACCCGGUUUUGUCCUCUUUUUUUUUUUGAGUCUUCCUUCAAUCUGAUACCAAGUUAUCAUGGAACCUGUACAUUGAUAAACCGGAGGGUGCCAUAUUUUCUACUUGAAUUCUUCUUGAUCAUAGGAAUAUUGCUCAUUAGGACAACCCGAAGAUUUUAAUACUUGUUUUCAGGAUGAGUCUGCAGUGAUUCUGCAUGCAGAAAAAAAAAGGAGAAACAACAUAUACUAAGUCAUGUCUCAAAAAUCAUGUGUGGGAAACGUACU